rnacentral:rRNA from 1 species
CAAGACCUGCGCUUUUGGAGCGGCCGAUGCCUGAUUAGCUUGUUGGUAAGGUAAAAGCUUACCAAGGCUUCGAUCAGUAGCUGGUCUGAGAGGACGACCAGCCACACUGGGACUGAGACACGGCCCAGACUCCUACGGGAGGCAGCAGUGGGGAAUUUUGGACAAUGGGCGCAAGCCUGAUCCAGCCAUGCCGCGUGAGUGAAGAAGGCCUUCGGGUUGUAAAGCUCUUUCAGCCGGGAAGAAAAGGUUGCGAUUAAUAAUCGCAAUUUAUGACGGUACCGGAAGAAGAAGCACCGGCUAACUACGUGCCAGCAGCCGCGGUAAUACGUAGGGUGCGAGCGUUAAUCGGAAUUACUGGGCGUAAAGCGUGCGCAGGUGGUUUUGUAAGUCAGAUGUGAAAGCCCCGGGCUCAACCUGGGAACU